UUAAGUUCAGCGGGUAUCCCUACCUGAUCCGAGGUCAAACCAUAGAAGAUAUGAGGUUGUCCGGCGGGCAGUGCCGACGCUCCGUAGCGGGUAGAAUUUGACUACGCUGGGAGAUCGACACCACCGCCUACGUGUUUCAGGCACGUCCUCAGCGGACGACGCCCAAUACCAAGCAGAAGCUUGAGGUUUGAAAUGACGCU
rnacentral:misc_RNA from 1 species